UUUUGAAAAUGGCAUUAAAUCGCGCCAAUAUUUAUUUCUUUUAGAUUGAAUGGAAAAAUCAUUUUUAGUAGUUGAAGUUCUGUGAUAUUUGGUGGAGGCAUCCAGAAAUGGCCUCUUAUGAUAUUUAUGUCACUCAACAUUAAUUUGUUAUAAGCUAUGGUGAGUUUACUAGAAAAGAAGAUUGAAGAAAUGCAAUUGGAAGAGAUGCAGCUUCAAUUCAAAGAAAUUGAAAAGAUGCUAGUGAAGAAACAAGAGACUGUGCAAGAAGUAGCAAACUUAAUUCCUGUCAUACAGGAGGUCCCAGUCAUUGAUAGUGUGCUGUUGGAUAAACUGACUUUUGAAAAUGAGCAACUGAAGGCCAUGGUGAGCUCACUGGAAAAGAAGAUAGAUGAAACUGAAAGAAAGUAUGAAGAAACACAUAGGCUUAGUGAAGAAAGGCUUAAGCAGGCUAUGGUUGUAGAGUCAAAGAUAAUCCAAUUAAAGACUGACAUGCAUAUGUUCUUGUAGUUUCUUUGUUAACUUUCUUAGACUGUUAAGCUAGAAUUAAGCUUCAGCUUCAAUGGGUUUUGCCAUUUUUAAAUUAUAAGAAGACAACUAUUAUAGUGCUCUCUUGUUUCUUUCUCAAGAUUGUCCUUUUUUUAAUUGAAAAAUCAUUGUUUACUUUUUGUCAUAGACUAGAAGAAAAGCUGCUGGACAUGGAGACCGUGGAUAUUCUAAGGUUGCAGGCCUUGUUAAAAACACUUGUAAACAUUUCAAGCUCUAUCCUCAUUUAUUUAGAGUCUCCCUUCCCAUUGCUUUUGACCUCAUUCUAUCUGAUUCUUUCUGCUGUUUUGUUAUCAUACAACCUACUAAUUGGUGGUGCAUGGCAUUUUAGUUGUUAUAUCAGUGACGAAAGGUGUAAGUUCUCAACUAGAGGUGAUAUUGGCAGUGCAAAUAUAGUAUGCAGGUAGAACAACAUUGUAGAUGAGGUUUCAUUUCAUGCAGCUGAUGGUCAUUGCCAAAGUUCCUUCCAUCCAUUUUUGGAGUGCAUGAAGAACUAAAAUCUUUUGUUUGUGACAUUUCACUAGCCACCCUUGCGGUAACGUGAUGUUUCAAAUUCAUUUCAACAUAAAAUCGCGUUUUGCAAUAUUCCUUGUUCUCCCAUUUCUCCAUCCUUAUUCUUGCGUGGUGAUGGAAACUCAUUGCUUGGUUUUGACUUGGUUGUUCCAUGAAGAAAAAAUCUGAAGAAAAAAAGGAAAAGGAGUUGUUGGCUGUUGACCUCUAGUUCUUUUGAUUUCUUCAUUUGCCAUAAAUCACUGUUCAAAAAUUCAAAACUCUACUCGACUCGAUGUUCAUCUUGGUUGGGUUGACUUAAAGACUUGACCCAACUUGACUUGAUAUUUAAUUUAUUAUAAAUUGAAUGUACUAGGAUUGUUAAUAGAUAUUUAAAAUAGUUUGAUCUCAUAUAAGUAAUAUAAAUCCUAACUCAUAGCAACGAAAUUGUUGGUACCUCACUAGCUAAGGUCGUUGCCUCC